GAUGAACGCUGGCGGCGUGCUUAACACAUGCAAGUCGAACGGUGAAGCAGGAGCUUGCUCUUGUGGAUCAGUGGCGAACGGGUGAGUAACACGUGAGCAACCUGCCCCUGACUCUGGGAUAAGCGCUGGAAACGGCGUCUAAUACUGGAUAUGUGAUGUGACCGCAUGGUCUGCAUCUGGAAAGAAUUUCGGUUGGGGAUGGGCUCGCGGCCUAUCAGCUUGUUGGUGAGGUAAUGGCUCACCAAGGCGUCGACGGGUAGCCGGCCUGAGAGGGUGACCGGCCACACUGGGACUGAGACACGGCCCAGACUCCGACGGGAGGCAGCAGUGGGGAAUAUGGCACAAUGGGCGGAAGCCUGAUGCAGCAACGCCGCGUGAGGGAUGACGGCCUUCGGGUUGUAAACCUCUUUUAGCUGGGAAGAAGCGAAAGUGACGGUACCUGCAGAAAAAGCACCGGCUAACUACGUGCCAGCCGCCGCCGUAA
rnacentral:rRNA from 1 species